rnacentral:rRNA from 1 species
GACGAACGCUGGCGGCGUGCUUAACACAUGCAAGUCGAACGGAAAGGCCCUGCUUUUGUGGGGUGCUCGAGUGGCGAACGGGUGAGUAACACGUGAGUAACCUGCCCUUGACUUUGGGAUAACUUCAGGAAACUGGGGCUAAUACCGGAUAGGAGCUCCUGCUGCAUGGUGGGGGUUGGAAAGUUUCGGCGGUUGGGGAUGGACUCGCGGCUUAUCAGCUUGUUGGUGGGGUAGUGGCGUACCAAGGCUUUGACGGGUAGCCGGCCUGCGAGGGUGACCGGCCACAUUGGGACUGAGAUACGGACCAGACUCCUACGGGAGGCAGCAGUGGGGAAUAUUGCACAAUGGGCGGAAGCCUGAUGCAGCAACGCCGCGUGCGGGAUGACGGCCUUCGGGUUGUAAACCGCUUUCGCCUGUGACGAAGCGUGAGUGACGGUAAUGGGUAAAGAAGCACCGGCUAACUACGUG